UCCUCUUCCUGUUCCUGACUCUACUGGAUAUACCACACAGCUCAAUCUACGCAGUUCCCAAGUUAGAGCAAAAUGAUUUUUCAAAGAAUGGAUACAUAUCUUCUCAUUAUGUUAUGUUUGGAUUUUAAUAUCCUGAUCAUUGAUAUUGAUGCUUAAUUUUGCUAGACAAGUCACCUGAAUAACUCGAGGGUCACCUGUGCUGCUGAGAUCUUCCCUGUAGUUCAUGGUUCCAGUGCUGCUACACAGGAGGCAUGUCAACAAGCAACAUGAAAUGCAUAUAUCAGAAGAUGGAUGAAGAAACUUAUAUUCAAGAAGAGAUGAACUAAGACAAAGUCUCCAGAAUAGCUCCAAGAAUUGCAACUUUUCUCCUAUUGCUUGAGGAUGAGGCAAUAGCAGAAAAUCAAAUAUUCCACAGGUCAGCUUGGCCACUUAAGAUGAGGCAAAUGUUUUUUUUUUUUUUCCCUGGUAUUGCUGGUUACAUCCUUUGUCUUUUGUACCUCUUCCUUGCCUUCUACGUUAUCAGCAGGUAAAACUUUGGGUUUACAUUCAUCUUCGCGCCAGGGAGCCUGGAAAUGAGACCCAUUUGCAGAGGCACAAAAUAGAACUACUUUUGUUGGAGUGUCUCUUGCAGAAGGGUCCACUUAUUAGGAUCAGAGAAAGGAUGAAUGGCUUUUGAGGGCAAUCAUUAUUUUAUGAUCAGCGACAUUUGUGAAAAUUAUGAGCAUAUUUUUGUGACAAAUUUGCAGGGACAAGGAUGUAUAUAGUACUUGAUUCAUUCUAAUUCCUUACAGGUGCAAAAGUAAUUGUAUAUAGAUGAUACUCUCUUAUGCUUAAAUAUUUUAUUAUUUUUUUAUAAUAUAAUUAUAAUAUGAUUGCAUGGCUA